UACGUAGGGUGCAAGCGUUAAUCGGAAUUACUGGGCGUAAAGCGUGCGCAGGCGGUUUUGUAAGUUUGUCGUGAAAGCCCCGGGCUCAACCUGGGAAUGGCAUUGGAAACUGGCUUGCUGGAGUGUGGCAGAGGGGGGUGGAAUUCCGCGUGUAGCAGUGAAAUGCGUAGAGAUGCGGAGGAACACCAGUGGCGAAGGCGGCUUCCUGGCCUGUUCUUGACGCUGAGGCGCGAAAGCUAGGGGAGCAAACGGG
rnacentral:rRNA from 1 species